AAAAAAAAUAAAUAAAUAAAUAAAUAAAUAAAAAAUAAAACAAAGAUACUACAAUAAAAUUUAAUUUUUAAUAUAAAAUAGAUAGAUAAAUUUGAUAUCAAAAAAUUAAAAAUUAAAUUUAAUUCACGAUUUAAACUCAAAUUUAAAUUUUAAUGUAAAAUAGAUGGAUAAAAGUACUAUUUUUUAACAGAUUGAUAUUCUGGUAAAAAUUUAGAUAAGCAUGAAUUUGUUUCUAUUUUAAAGAUAAAAAGAAAAUAAAUAAUUUUGAAUUUUUUGAUAGAUUCACAGUAGAUAUCUUUUAGUUGGUAAAAAUUUGGAUAAGUAUAUUUUUUUCUAUUUUAGAGAUAUAGAAAGAAAUUAAAAAUUUGUUUCAUUAGGUUAUUUAUUUUACGUAAGAAAAGAAGAAUCAAUUUUUUUUUCACGUCAAAAAAUGGGUCUGUCGAUAGAUCGAAAUUUGAAAUACGUGAUUUUAUAUAUAGUAUAGAUAUAGAUAGAUAGUAUAGAUAUUAUAUUACAGAUAGAUAUAAAGAAGAAUUAAAUAAAAAUUCACGGUAGAUAUUCUUCGAUUGGCAAAAAUUUGGAUAAGCAUAAAUUAUUUUUCUGUUGUAGAAAUAAAGAGGAAAUAAAAGUUUGUUUAAUUCUGUUAUUUAUUUUACGUAAGGAAAGAUGAAUCAAUUUUUUUUCCGCCAAAAAAUGGGUAUGGCAACUGACCGAAAUUUAAAAUACAUGCUUUUAUAUAUAGUGUAUAGAUAUAGAUAGAUAGUAUAGAUAUUAUAUUACAGAUAGAUAUAAAGAAGAAUUAAAUAAAAAUUCACGGUAGAUAUUCUUCGAUUGGCAAAAAUUUGGAUAAGCAUAAAUUAUUUUUCUGUUGUAGAAAUAAAGAGGAAAUAAAAGUUUGUUUAAUUCUGUUAUUUAUUUUACGUAAGGAAAGAUGAAUCAAUUUUUUUUCCGCCAAAAAAUGGGUAUGGCAACUGACCGAAAUUUAAAAUACAUGCUUUUAUAUAUAGUGUAUAGAUAUAGAUAGAUAGUAUAGAUAUUAUAUUACAGAUAGAUAUAAAGAAGAAUUAAAUAAAAAUUCACGGUAGAUAUUCUUCGAUUGGCAAAAAUUUGGAUAAGCAUAAUUUUUUUUUCUGUUGUAGAAAUAAAGAGGAA
rnacentral:lncRNA from 1 species